rnacentral:rRNA from 1 species
CCCUUAGAUGUUCUGGGCAGCACGCGCGCUACAAUGGUCUCCGCAAACGGAUGCAUUCUCGAAGGAGAAUGCCAAUCUUGGAAUCUAUGCCUUGGUCGGGACAGUUGCUUGCAAUUUUUCGACUCGAACCAGGAAUUCCUUGUAAUCGUGAUUCAUCACAUCACGAUGAAUACGUCCCUGCCCUUUGUACACACCGCCCGUCGCUCCUACCGAUCGAAGAGUUAGGUGAAUUGUUUUGAUCGAUAAGAUUUGACUAUGGUUAACUCUCGUUGUGAAAUUCUGUGAAUCUGACUGUUUAGAGGAAGGAAAAGUCGUAACA